UCAAAGGAAUUGACGGGGACCCGCACAAGCGGUGGAGCAUGUGGUUUAAUUCGAAGCAACGCGAAGAACCUUACCAAAUCUUGACAUCCUUUGACCGCUCUAGAGAUAGAGUUUUCCCCUUCGGGGGACAAAGUGACAGGUGGUGCAUGGUUGUCGUCAGCUCGUGUCGUGAGAUGUUGGGUUAAGUCCCGCAACGAGCGCAACCCUUAAGCUUAGUUGCCAUCAUUAAGUUGGGCACUCUAAGUUGACUGCCGGUGACAAACCGGAGGAAGGUGGGGAUGACGUCAAAUCAUCAUGCCCCUUAUGAUUUGGGCUACACACGUGCUACAAUGGACAAUACAAAGGGCAGCUAAACCGCGAGGUCAAGCAAAUCCCAUAAAGUUGUUCUCAGUUCGGAUUGUAGUCUGCAACUCGACUACAUGAAGCUGGAAUCGCUAGUAAUCGUAGAUCAGCAUGCUACGGUGAAUACGUUCCCGGGUCUUGUACACACCGCCCGUCACACCACGAGAGUUUGUAACACCCGAAGCCGGUGGAGUAACCAUUUAUGGAGCUAGCCGUCGAAGGUGGGACAAA
rnacentral:rRNA from 1 species